CCUACGGUGGGCAGCAGUGGGGGAUAUUGCACAAUGGGGGGAACCCUGAUGCAGCGACGCCGCGUGGGUGAAGGAGUGCUUCGGCAUGUAAAGCCCUAUCGGCAGGGAAGAAGCAAGACGGUACCUGACUAAGAAGCCCCGGCUAACUACGUGCCAGCAGCCGCGGUAAUACGUAGGGGGCGAGCGUUAUCCGGAUUUACUGGGUGUAAAGGGGGCGCAGACGGCGAUGCAAGCCAGGAGUGAAAGCCCGGGGCCCAACCCCGGGACUGCUCUUGGAACUGCGUGGCUGGAGUGCAGGAGGGGCAGGCGGAAUUCCUGGUGUAGCGGUGAAAUGCGUAGAUAUCAGGAGGAACACCGGUGGCGAAGGCGGCCUGCUGGACUGCAACUGACGUUGAGGCCCGAAAGCGUGGGGAGCAAACAGGAUUAGAUACCCCUGUAGUC
rnacentral:rRNA from 1 species